rnacentral:lncRNA from 1 species
CACUUGCCAUGUAACUUCCGCCCCUCUCUGCCCUUUUCACUUUCACAGCUCCUCCGUUUCCAUCUUGUAUUUUUCUCCCUCAUCAUUACUCCUUCUCCCACAUCCACCCCACCCACUUCCCACCUCAUUCAUUCUCAUCAGAAGGAAAACAGCCACUGAAUUCAAAUGCCAUAAUCAGUGGUGGCCCCUGCAGGAAACAAAUCAAGCACCGGAGUACUCAGCACUCAACAGCGGAAAGAUUUUCCUUCUGGAGGGAAUAUUUCACAGCUGUUGAAGAAUCAAGGCUUCUGAACCAGCCUGAGUUUACAUGUGCUACCAAGAGAACCAGCCUGAGUUUACAUGUGCUACCAGGAGAACCAGCCUGAGUUUACAUGUGCUACCAGGAGAACCAGCAUUGGUCUGUUUGCCUGUCUCAGGGAUCAGCUGCCCUCGUGGUCACUCUGCUCAGGCAGAGUGGAUCCGAAAUGAAAUGCUUUUUAUCGCUACUUCUCAGCCCUUGAUUAAAUAAUUGUCAACUCUCAUAUGCAGAGUGUAAGAACUUCAGCUUUCUCCAACCCCAGUGGAGCACGUGCCUUUUGUUUUUUCUUCAACCAAACACACAAAGGUGGAAAAUUAAUAAGAGAUUGUAUUUUGCAGUUUGUUGAUAAAACGUCCAGAGGUAAAUCCCCAGACUUUCCAUCAUGGCAGAGCCUUACAUACGUCUGUCAAGCUAGUAAAUCUCCUUAGAGAACUUUUUAAGACCAUGUGUUCCUAAAGCUGGGGCUUUACGGAAUUAUGUCUGGCAUCUAAUUUAUUCUCUUUGUGAACCAAAACAUAGGCCCACUGAGUAUCACAUUGUAUCACCAUUCUCAGUCAUCAUACUAAACACCAGUACCAGAAAAUGAUACCCAGAUCAGAGAAUCUCUGAGGUCAGAGCUAGGAGGUUGUGAAAAGAAAAGAAAAUCUCGAGACCCCAAACUCACUAUACCAAAGGGAAAAGUUAAGCUCAGAAACUGAGUCAUACAAAAAAGAAAAAAUGCCUUUCCUUUUGUUCCUAAACAGAUAGCUGUACAAUAAAAGGCCACAUAUCUCCCCAGGUAGCUUCCCUCACUCUGAUUAUGUAAAUUAAUGGCUUACCUUCACAGGUACAGGACAAAGAAAAGACUAGAAAUCAUCCCUCCUCCUACCUCAAAAUAAAGUAGAUUCUCUAUUUACUUAUCUUAUGUAAAAUGCAGAUUUAUUGAGUGCAAGAUGUAUGUAUAAUUGAUUGUUCCUCUAUGCCUUUCACAUGCAACAUGGAUUUAGUGAGUGCUAAUCAAAGCCUCACAAGAAAUGUGAACAGUUACCUCACUACAUACCCUCCCUUUAAUUUUCUUUCUUCCUUCCCCUCCUGCCUGCUUUUUCUCCUUUAAAUAUUCAAACCCCCAAAACCCUCUUAGGAAAAAAGUACAGGCCAUAGAUCCCACUGAGACUUGUGUCUCCUUUUCUCAGGCAUGUCCUCAAUCUCAGCAAAAUAAACCUCUAAAUGGAUUGACACCUGUCUCAAACACUUUUUGUUUUACAAGAUCAAAGUAAGGUUUGAAAAUAUAACAAAUCAAGUAUCCAAACUCAGCCAAUCCUGAGAUUUGAGAAGCAGGUAAAGUGACAACCAAA